UACGUUCCCGGGCCUUGUACACACCGCCCGUCAAGCCAGUGGAAGCUGGAAGGUGCCUGAAGUGCGUAACCGCAAGGAGCGUCCUAGGGUAAAGUCGGUAACUGGGGCU
rnacentral:rRNA from 1 species